UGGGGGUGAUCUAUGGGCAGUUGGAAUGUCAGGCCUCAUAGGAGUGUCUUUGUCUGAGGGCUGUGGAUCAUUUGGUUAUCAUUUCUGCCUUCAGAAGAACUGGACGCUAAAGAGAUCAGAAGAGCA